AUUAGUGGCGAACGGGUGAGUAACACGUGAGUAACCUGCCCUUGACUUCGGGAUAACUCCGGGAAACCGGGGCUAAUACCGGAUAUGAGCCGCCUUCGCAUGGGGGUGGUUGGAAAGUUUUUCGGUCAGGGAUGGGCUCGCGGCCUAUCAGCUUGUUGGUGGGGUGAUGGCCUACCAAGGCGACGACGGGUAGCCGGCCUGAGAGGGCGACCGGCCACACUGGGACUGAGACACGGCCCAGACUCCUACGGGAGGCAGCAGUGGGGAAUAUUGCACAAUGGGCGAAAGCCUGAUGCAGCGACGCCGCGUGAGGGAUGAAGGCCUUCGGGUUGUAAACCUCUUUCAGCAGGGAAGAAGCGCAAGUGACGGUACCUGCAGAAGAAGCGCCGGCUAACUACGUGCCAGCAGCCGCGGUAAUACGUAGGGCGCAAGCGUUGUCCGGAAUUAUUGGGCGUAAAGAGCUCGUAGGCGGUUUGUCGC
rnacentral:rRNA from 1 species